rnacentral:lncRNA from 1 species
AGGUGAAGUUUGAUCCGCUGAAAACAUGUGAAAAGAAACAUUACUUGAAAAGGAAAAGAAACAAAACAAAAUCCCUGUCUACUGCUUACUUUCAGAGGCUGCCUGACGUCAGAGGAUUUGGAGAGAGAGGCUGGUCUGAAACUGAAAACAGCAGCAGUUCCAGUCUCACUGCAACAGUAAGCCAGCGAGAGGAACAGCAGAGGCAUUUCUCUAUGUGGAUUAUAGGGCUGCAGAACAGGGAGGAACUGCACAGAGACACAGGCACUACAGUAUCCCGAAGCCAGCUUGGCAGCACAAGGAUUCAGGUUUGGCUUGGUUGCUUCUCCCAAAGGUAUGCAGAGGGGCUGACCAUGCAGGCUAUUGCAUGACUCUGUAAAUGGUUUGGGGUGAUGGGGGACGAGGGAGG